UACGUAGGGAGCAAGCGUUGUCCGGAAUCAUUGGGCGUAAAGCGCGCGUAGGCGGCCCUGUAAGUCCGUUGUGAAAGUCAAAGGCUCAACCUUUGAAAGCCGAUGGAUACUGCAGGGCUAGAGUCCGGAAGAGGCGAGUGGAAUUCCUGGUGUAGCGGUGGAAUGCGCAGAUAUCAGGAGGAACACCCAAUAGCGAAGGCAGCUCGCUGGGACGGUACUGACGCUAAGGCCGCGAAAGCGUGGGGAGCGAACAGG
rnacentral:rRNA from 1 species